AACUGCCUGCUGCACUUUGAACCCUGAAGGAAGACCUCCCUAUGCUGCAGACAAGGAAGGGGCUGGAAAAACUCUAACCUGGGUCCUCUGCACAGUUGCCUCUAUGGGCUUAGGUUCUUUCCUGUCUGUGGGAGAAAGCCCUCUGCUUGCAUGGGAAAGACAUUUGUUGCUCUUGUUGGCUGGCCUCUCUCUUCAGCAUUGUCUUCAAAGGAGGUGGGAGGACCAGUAAAUGAGCAAACUUCCUCCUUCAGUUCUGAGAAACUGAAACUCAGAAGCCUUAGAUUACCCUCCCAGGCUGUACAAGAAAGAGACUCUGACCACGUUGUAGCUUCAGAGAAGAUUGCCAACCUGUCCAGAGCCCUGCAAGCUGUGCAGUUUCCCCUGUGCUAUUUCAAGAGUCACUGCCUGUGCUGAGGUGGACUCUGCAGUCCUACAGCUCCUGUGAGGUCACUCCAACUCCUAUUGUUUAUAUGGUGGAUUAUAUUGAUGGAUUUCCACAUACUGACCCACUCCUGAAUGCCUAGGAUGAAGCCUACUUGGUCAUGGUGGAUGAUAUUUUGGAUGUGUUCUUGGAUUCAGUUUAAUGAAGCCAGAACGACCCAUUGGCAGAUUCCCAGGACGUAACACAGAGUUCCAGGAAGGGCCUCCUGGAGCUGCUCAGAGGAUAGCACACACUACAAGACAAGGAAAAUGCAGGAUGUUAAGUCUGGUAGUAGGAGAGGGGUGAUCAAAAAUCUCAGGGACAUGCAUGUGCCAGAGUGGAUGUAACAGUAAACAUUUCCUGGGAGGCAUGGAGAGUCCAGGCUGCUCUGUCCAGGGAUGCUUGCACACCCUGUGGAGAAGCAGAUUCAGCAGGACCAGAGAGAAGGGCAUCAGCAUGUGAGGAGCUGAGAGGUGGUGCUGAAGGCUCAAGGAUGGACUGGUGUUAGCAAACUAUCUCUAACCUGGAAUCUCAACAGUAUGGCACAGAGAAGUUCCAUCAGGAGACAGUCACAUCACGGCCAUGGUCCACUGAGGAGUAAGGAACACGCAGCCUGGGGCCUGACUGCUCAAGGAGGGUCAUGGCUAACAGAAAAUGUACCUUAAAAAGCUUCAAUUUCAUGGGAUGAUGCCCUCUUUUGGCCUCCAACGGUACCAAGCACAGAUGUAGUGUCCAACCCUCAUAUGCAUAAAAUAAAUCUAAAAACCAAUUAAAGCUGAAAGGUCUCAAAGACAGACCCAGAUUGUCUUCCCAGGAAGCAGAUCCGAACCAACAAGAAAGGACCAGCCACCCCUGCCUCAGGCACAGUCAUUGUCUCUGUAGUGCUUCCUUACUGCCUGUCACUCAGGUGUGAACCCCUAGAUGCCUCUGUGAAGGCCUGGUGUGGUGUUCUGAAUGACCCUGUCCUCUGUAGAGUACCAUAUUGGAAUACUUGGUCCCCACUUGGUGGCAGCUGUGUGGAUAGCUUUAGGAGGUAUGGCCUGCUGCAGGGAGAAUGUCACUGGAGCUGUGGUUAUAGAACCCAUCCCAUUUCUUUCUUCAUCUCUGGACCUUGCUUGAGGUUUAAGAUGGGGGCUUUCAGCUGGGCAUGGUGUCAUAGGCUGGAAUUCCAGCACUUGAGAGGCACAGGCAGGUGGUUCUUUAUGAGUCUGCGGCAAGUCUGUUCUGCCUAUUGAGUUCUAGGAAAGCUGGAAUUAUACGGGAGACCUUGUUUCAAACCCAAACCCAAACCAAACCAAACCAAACCAGAACUCUGGGUUGUCAACUUGCUGCUCCAGCCACGGUGCCUGCCUGCUGCCAUGCUUCCCUGCUGGGAGGUGAUGGACUCGUGUCCCUGUGAAACUACCAGGUUCCCCACAUCCUCCUUCUGUGGUUCCCCAAAUCCUCCUUCUGUAUGUUACCAUGGGCAUCGUCGUGUUUUAUCACAGCAAUAGAAAAGCAAGUAUCGUAAAAUAUCAUAUAAAUACUGCAGUGUUUGCACUGCUCCUUCUCCGUUACUCCUGCUCGCCUCUGCUCUUGUAGGAUGGUAUCAUCCAGGGAGAAGCCAUCAGUGAAGAGCAUGGCUGGACCUGCCUCUAGGACCCUAUGACCAAGGCCUUCUGUCAGCCUGAUGUUGUCAGUGCUAGGAAAUGGCCCUGGGGGGAGAUCAUGGCAGUUCCUAAUUGGAGAAUCACCUUGCUUGGGCAGAAGCCAGCCAGACACACCUGCAGUAGGGAAAAUGCACUUCAUUUCACAGUGACUCCUGGCAUGGCCCUGGGUUCUGGGACAGAGAGGCCUCUGGUCCUGGGCUAUCAGAACGUUCAUCAGGCCUCAGGGAGACACCAUGAGGUGAGCUCCUUUCCUCCAGGUUACAAAGUGGACAGUCACAGUCAGAGAUGAUAUGCUGAAGUGAGACAUUGCUGCAGAGACAUCACAAGUCCCUGUGUGUUGAGAGCUGCAUAGCAGGGAGACAUCGCUUCCCUCCCUACCCUGUGAGGUGGUGUCUCCUCUUCUCUAGAUGGUUGUGGAAAUCCUAUCUCAUCUAGAGGAAGUGACAGGUCAGUUCUCAAGGAAGCUGCCACCUCUUCCUCAGCAAGGACCACAGGCUUCAAGGAGUGUCCUCUGUGCUCCAAGGAAUCCACUGGACAGCAAUGGAGAGAUCAACAAUCCUUAAGUUCAGGACCUCCUGCUGUCAUUUCUAGCUGACCCAGAAGUCACAAGCUGCAAAGAACCAGUACUGUCUGGGAAACAUGCAGCUUUCCCAGGACUUUGGAAGACACUCUGGGGGGAUGGGCACCAAUCCUGGUACAUGGAGUAUUCCCUAAUCUGGCUUAGAGGACACAUCUUCUGUCUUAUUCAUCAGCUUGUGACCUUCUGCUGCUGUCCCACCAAAUGCAGAAUUGAGUAUUUGAUGCAGAGAGAGAUACAGUGAGGUUCUCCAAAUUGAAUAAAAAUGAGUGCCUGCAUUUACAGAACAGAAGAACCCUCUCCUGUCUAAAGAACACCACUAUCUGGUGCCAUCUCCCCAGGAGGCAGACUACAUGGGCCUGGGAGCAAGGGCAGCAGCUUCCAUAGCUCUCCACCCAGUCCUCCCUAGAGGACAAGGUGCUCCAGCCCUGAGUAGCUGCGGAGUUUUCAUGCAAGGGCACAGAUUGCGAUCUCCUGGAGGAAUGGCUAAAAGACAUUUUGAGGGUGGGAAAGUGUAGGCUAGGUGGGAAGGGAGGGGAGCAGAGGAGGAGGCUGGUGGUUAAAAGUCCUGUUGAAGCUGAGCCUGGCACAAAGCUGUAAUCCCACUACCUGGUAGACCAAGGGGGAGAAGGCGUUGUUGCAAGUUCCACAGUGUGAAUCCUGCUUAAAACAAAACAACCAUAGAAAGAAUAAAGACCAAGGGAAAAAAGAGAACUUGGGCGGUUGUGGCUGCCUUGUCCCUGGAAGCAUCUACUGUGGGAAAGUUCCAGGGCAAAGAGGUUCCUGACUGGAGGAGGGCUGUGAGGAAUCUUCAGGGAAGGCAGUCUUCAGAGCAUAUGCUUAGACCCAGGGGAGCCCUCCUGGCGGGGUCUUGCACUGGGAUCUCUGGGGUUUAGGCUUCCUUCAGGCACUCCUUUUGGCACCUGAGCUCUUCAUUUCUAAAUUUAGCCUUGGCCCGCCCUCCAGCCUGGUUUUAGGCUUCCUACAGACUACAAGCACUCCUUUCUGCUCCCGAGCUCGCCACUCGAUUCUGCUCCGGAGCUUUCCACUCCUUUCUGCUCUGGAGCUCUCCUUUCCUUUCUGCUCCUGAGCUCUCCAUUCAUUUCUGCUUCGGAGCUCGCCACUCCUGUCCCCUCCGGAGCUCGCCACUCCUUUCUGCUCCAGAGCUCUCGCUCCUGAGCUCUCCAUUCAUUUCUGCUCCGGAGCUCGCCACUCCUGUCUGCUCCAGAGCUCUCGCUCCUGAGCUCUCCAUUCAUUUCUGCUCCGGAGCUCGCCACUCCUGUCUGCUCCGGAGCUCGCCACUCCUUUACCUUGGCCUGCCCUCCCCCCAGCCAUAACUUUCCACUAACUUCUUCAAUGCACUGGUGGGGUCGAGCCAGAGCGAGUCAGGGCGCCCAGGUGCCGCGGUGAGGAAGGGGCGAAGGAGAAGCCAGGGGCUUCCUGGAAGCUCAGUACUGAGAACCCCUGACUUAGCCGGGUCUGUCGCCCCCUACGCCCCGCCUGCACCCUGGGUAGACUCGGAACUCACGGGCUGACAGCGUCGUCAUCAGGUAGCUCAGCAGAACUAAAAGGCUCAGAUUCUGGGGACGACUGAGCGCCGCGGUGGCUGGCUUGUCCAUGGUUCCCCCCGGAGAGCUGCCCCAGACGGGCGUAAGGAGCUGCGCGGAGUCCGUCCUCGGCCGCGCCCCGCGGAGGACACGCGACGAGAACCCCGCGAGGUCCAGGCACCUGGGCGAGAAUUAAGCUUCAGGGCGCUGCAGGAAGGCAGAUCCUAGUCCACUUUUCCUGCCUCCCGGCGAACUGAGUCCCCUUGCCCCGCCCCUUUUCGUGAGUCCGCGUCUCUCCCAAGCUCGCUGCUUCUCUCCCUCCCCGCGGGCCGUCCUAUCCCCGCCCGCCGCUCUUCCUCCCCCGCCUGCCGUCCUCCACCUCCCCCCACCUUCCCCCACCCCGCUGUCCACUUAUCAGCAGCUGUGCCCGCGGGAUUCUCAGGACAGAGAUUAGAAAGAUAGAAAAAGUAUCAACUCCAUGCUUUCAGCCAGCAGCCAGAGUUAGAAACCUGUAUAAGGGUUCACAGAGCAGGUCUUGCUUCCCCUCUAGGAGUUCCUGAGGUGGUUAGCUUAGGUGCCCCAGGAGCUUUGCUCUAGGGCUUCUCUCUAAUUCUUCAAUACCUUCACACACACCCUCAGUGUGUGUGUGUGUGUGUGUGUGUGUGUGUGUGUGUGUGGCCAGCAGCCAGCUCUCCCUCACUGUCUGCUUCCUCCAGCUCAAGUUUCUCCCCCACCCCAGACUCAUUUUGUUUUGAGUCAUUGUUUCCCUUUGUGGCCUUUUCCCUAUGCAGCACUGGCUUUCUAUGUAAACCAGGCUGGCCAGCUCAGUGAUCCACUGCCUCUAUUUCCCAAGGGCAUGUGCCAACAUCCCUGGCCAGAGAGGUACAUUUGCCCGUGGGCACAAACAUGAGUGUUUACAAUAUACUUAGAAACUGUAUUUUAUAGGAAAGGGGCAGUUUUUCCUCCAGAGUCUAGGAUCUCUCCAGUGCUCCUGUCCCCUUGAUCAGAGAGAUGAGAACAGAGCUCAGACUUCAGCCAGCAUGCAUUCUGUGAAGAGGAGGGAGGGCAUCACAGGGAAGCAUCCUCAGCUCUGCCAAAGGAAGCUGCAGCUUGGGAAAGAGCUGGGCCUCAUUCUAGCAGGGAAUUAAGGAGAGCCCUGAGGCUGCACCCAAAGGUCCACCAGCCAGCCCUCCACACCUCAGACUGCCCUGGGCUGUUGUGCUCACUCCCUCAGGAAUGCUUCUGCAGUGGGGCGGGGAGGGAGUCUCCUAAGACCCUGACUGUGCAGAAACCUUAAAGAUAGGGAGAGCAGUAGGUCAAUGCCUAUAUCCUUUCCCUCUAAACAGUAAAGGUCAGAACUGCACAUUUGCUUGGUCCAGGUGUACACAGGAUGAGCUGAGAGGAUGUGGUCAGACGUGAAAAUGUUGGGAGACACAAGUACAUGUGGGAAACUCAUCCCGAAUAUUAAUUAAGAGGGAAGCUCUCAAGUACCGUUCCUGCACCGUGCCUGCUGCUACAACACUCCCCACCAUCAUAACCGUGAGCUUGCUCUCGGAACUGUGCACAAGCCUCCAAAUAAAGAUUUC